UCUGCCAGGGUGUAGUAUUUUUUUAAGGACUUUGACUGUGCAGCCUUGGAGUGAGCUGAAGCUUUGCCGCCUAUAACAGGUGAUCUCUUCAUGGCCCCAUAUGAUGUUAUUAUUCAUACACUGUGUGUUUCUGCAGAAGCCAUUUGGAAAUGGACAGGUGAUCCCUUUCCCAUCCCACGCGGAUGUGUCAUCGGUGGUUUGUGUGCAGUAGUCAUAUGGAAAUUGGUGCAAAACAAAAAAUCUUCACCAUGUUCCUCUUCAAAAGAAAGUGAUAAUGUGGACUUGGAAGACAAGAAGCUGAAGUUAACGGACAAACUGGAAAAUGUGGCACACAAAAUUACCACUCUCCGGAACCAGAAGAUGAUUCUGGAGAAUCAAAGGCAGCAAUUCAAACUGCAGCUAGAAGAUUUGGAGAGAGACAGGGAGGACAACAAGGAGAAGCUUCAGUCAGUGGAGAGGUUAAUAACAGAGAGUGAGAGAGAAAGGGCAACUGACAGAACAGAGGAACAUUUAAGAAGACGACAAAUGUUAUUAAAUGGAGAGUAGAAAGGAAAAGCUGGAACAGCUCCAGCUGAACACAGAGAAACAGCUGCAGAGUGAAGAGAAAGAGGGUAUUCUAACCAUAAUGAUAGAAAAGAAGAAGAAUUUAGAGAACAUGAUGGAAGAGCUGCAAAAGAGAGAGAGCCAGAGGAAUCUGCUUCAUGAUAAAUCAGAGUAACAUUGUUUUUUUAAACUCGUUCUGUUAAAAAUUGAGACCAUAGUUUCAUUCUUGACCUAGGAAGGUGCUCCUAAGCACUGUACCUAUGGUGGAAUCUUAAAGGAAUGUACUAGUACUUUAAUAUUUUUCCAUCUCCAUAUAAUUAUUUCUAUUUAACUGUACAAUUCUGAAGUAACUAUUUUAACACUCCAAUUAUGUGUCUGCUUUAGUCUCUAAAUGAUUGUUAAAUUGAAGUGUUCUUUGCAUAAAAAUAUACAACAGGCUUACAAAAUGCAAUGCAUUAAUUGACCUUACUAUACAGUAUGUUAUUAUAUCCAACACAACCAGCUACAACAGUGAAAUGCUACUUAUGCAUCGAUACAUCAAUAUGCAUAACCUAUGUUUGUACAACAACAAAUCACUAAUGGGGGACAUAUCUUUGCAAAAGUUCUAGUUUUAUCUUUGAUACUUCAAACACUGUACUUUUGUAGUAUGCUCAUGAUUUCUCAUGAUUAUUUUCUAGUCUAGUUUUAUAUCUAUAUAUUGUAAUAUUAUGAUGAUUUGUAUAUGAUUCUGUAUGUACAAUAAUGAAAA